rnacentral:tRNA from 1 species
AGAGGUGUAGCUCAGUGGUAGAGUGCUGGCCAAGUGUGUGUGAGACCCUGGGUUUGAUUCCCAACACCACAA